AUUGAACGCUGGCGGCAGGCCUAACACAUGCAAGUCGAGCGGAUGAAGGGAGCUUGCUCCUGGAUUCAGCGGCGGACGGGUGAGUAAUGCCUAGGAAUCUGCCUGGUAGUGGGGGAUAACGUCCGGAAACGGGCGCUAAUACCACAUACGUCCUGAGGGAGAAAGUGGGGGAUCUUCGGACCUCACGCUAUCAGAUGAGCCUAGGUCGGAUUAGCUAGUUGGUGGGGUAAAGGCCUACCAAGGCGACGAUCCGUAACUGGUCUGAGAGGAUGAUCAGUCACACUGGAACUGAGACACGGUCCAGACUCCUACGGGAGGCAGCAGUGGGGAAUAUUGGACAAUGGGCGAAAGCCUGAUCCAGCCAUGCCGCGUGUGUGAAGAAGGUCUUCGGAUCGUAAAGCACUUUUAGUUGGGAGGAAGGGCAGUAAGUUAAUACCUUGCUGUCUUGACGUUACCAACAGAAUAAGCCCCGGCUAACUUCGUG
rnacentral:rRNA from 1 species